rnacentral:rRNA from 1 species
AUCGUGCUUUGCGGCACGAGUUGUAGAUUGCAGGUUGGAGUCUGUGUGGAAGGCGGUGUCCAAGUCCCUUGGAACAGGGCGCCCAGGAGGGUGAGAGCCCCGUGGGAUGCCGGCGGAAGCAGUGAGGGCCUUUCUGACGAGUCGAGUUGUUUGGGAAUGCAGCUCCAAGCGGGUGGUAAAUUCCAUCUAAGGCUAAAUACUGGCGAGAGACCGAUAGCGAACAAGUACUGUGAAGGAAAGAUGAAAAGCACUUUGAAAAGAGAGUGAAACAGCACGUGAAAUUGUUGAAAGGGAAGGGUAUUGCGCCCGACAUGGGGAUUGCGCACCGCUGCCUCUCGUGGGCGGCGCUCUGGGCUUUCCCUGGGCCAGCAUCGGUUCUUGCUGCAGGAGAAGGGGUUCUGGAACGUGGCUCUUCGGAGUGUUAUAGCCAGGGCCAGAUGCUGCGUGCGGGGACCGAGGACUGCGGCCGUGUAGGUCACGGAUGCUGGCAGAA